CAGUCGCCGCGGGAAUACGAAGGGGGCUAGCGUUGUUCGGAUUUACUGGGCGUAAAGCGCACGUAGGCGGAUUGGUAAGUUAGGGGUGAAAUCCUGGAGCUCAACUCCAGAACUGCCUUUAAUACUGCCAAUCUCGAGUCCGGAAGAGGUAAGUGGAACUCCUAGUGUAGAGGUGGAAUUCGUAGAUAUUAGGAAGAACACCAGUGGCGAAGGCGGCUUACUGGUCCGGUACUGACGCUGAGGUGCGAAAGCGUGGGGAGCAAACAGGAUUAGAUACCCCCGUAGUCCCUGUCUCUUAUAC
rnacentral:rRNA from 1 species